CCUACGGGAGGCUGCAGUGAGGAAUAUUGGUCAAUGGGCGCAAGCCUGACCCAGCAACGCCGCGUGAGGGAAGAAGGCUUUCGGGUUGUAAACUUCUUUUCUCAGGGACGAAGCAAGUGACGGUACCUGAGGGAUACGCCACGGCUAACUACUUGCCAGCAGCCGCUGUAAUACGUAGGUCGCAAGCGUUAUACGGAUUUACUGGGUGUAAAGGUCGUGUAGGCGGGACUGCAAGUCAGAUGUGAAAACCAUGGGCUCAACCUAUGGCCUGCAUUUGAUACUGUAGUUCUUGAGUACUGGAGAGGAAGACGGAAUACCUAGUGUAGCGGUGAAAUGCGUAGAUAUUAGGAGGAACACCAGUGGCGAAGGCGGUUUGCUGGACAGCAACUGACGCUGAGGCGCGAAAGCGUGGGGAGCAAACAGGAUUAGAUACCCCGGUAGUC
rnacentral:rRNA from 1 species